CGGACUUUACCAACAAUGAAUUCAUAAUCUCUUUUGGUAAUCUAUUUGGAGUGGAACGGGAAGCCUAAAUAGAGACUGAGGUUUGAUGUUUCUUGGAUUCUUAAAAGCAUUAGUGAUCCAAUGUUUCUAUGAAUCUGAGAUGCUGGGAGAGAAAAGAAUCCUUGACAUUUGAAGAUUGAUGUUUUAGCUUGAUUCUCUCAAUGUUUC
rnacentral:lncRNA from 1 species